CACACCGCCCGUCACACCACGAAAGCUUGUUGUACCUGAAGUCGUUGGCGCCAACCGCAAGGAGGCAGACGCCCACGGUAUGACCGAUGAUUGGGGUG
rnacentral:rRNA from 1 species